rnacentral:piRNA from 1 species
UAAUGCUAAAAUUUUUUACAC